CGGGACGGGUGAGUAAUGUCUGGGAAACUGCCUGAUGGAGGGGGAUAACUACUGGAAACGGUAGCUAAUACCGCAUAACGUCGCGAGACCAAAGAGGGGGACCUUCGGGCCUCUUGCCAUCGGAUGUGCCCAGAUGGGAUUAGCUAGUAGGUGGGGUAACGGCUCACCUAGGCGACGAUCCCUAGCUGGUCUGAGAGGAUGACCAGCCACACUGGAACUGAGACACGGUCCAG
rnacentral:rRNA from 1 species